rnacentral:rRNA from 1 species
UCGAGCGAGUCUGCCUUGAAGAUCGGAGUGCUUGCACUCUGUGAAACAAGAUACAGGCUAGCGGCGGACGGGUGAGUAACACGUGGGUAACCUGCCCAAGAGAUCGGGAUAACACCUGGAAACAGAUGCUAAUACCGGAUAACAACAGAUGAUGCCUAUCAACUGUUUAAAAGAUGGUUCUGCUAUCACUCUUGGAUGGACCUGCGGUGCAUUAGCUAGUUGGUAGGGUAACGGCCUACCAAGGCGAUGAUGCAUAGCCGAGUUGAGAGACUGAUCGGCCACAUUGGGACUGAGACACGGCCCAAACUCCUACGGGAGGCAGCAGUAGGGAAUCUUCCACAAUGGACGCAAGUCUGAUGGAGCAACGCCGCGUGAGUGAAGAAGGGUUUCGGCUCGUAAAGCUCUGUUGUUGGUGAAGAAGGACAGGGGUAGUAACUGACCUUUGUUUGACGGUAAUCAAUUAGAAAGUCACGGCUAACUACGUGCCAGCAGCCGCGGUAAUACGUAGGUGGCAAGCGUUGUCCGGAUUUAUUGGGCGUAAAGCGAGUGCAGGCGGCUCGAUAAGUCUGAUGUGAAAGCCUUCGGCUCAACCGGAGAAUUGCAUCAGAAACUGUCGAGCUUGAGUACAGAAGAGGAGAGUGGAACUCCAUGUGUAGCGGUGAAAUGCGUA